GUAUUUCUUUAUCUCUCUCUCUCUCUAGGUUGGGUGGAAAAAGAGACCUACUAUUAAUUCAUUGCUUAUAUAGCAACAUUUUCCAUGCAUGGGAGCCUCACUGCUCAGUCCGUUCAACUCUGGAUAUGUUUUUAUACUGAAAACUUAAAAGAAGACUGAUUUCAAAAACACAAGACCUAUUCUUCUGUGUUUGUGUUCUGUAUCACCGCCACCUGAUCAAGUCCUAUGCAGCAACCUCUGAUGUUUGAAUGCUUCAAUGAAAGUGAAUACCCCAAUGUGCCACAAAACCCACUGCGUCAAAUCCUCUAAGAUUGAUCGAAGUCCUAUGCAGCAACCUCUGAUGUUUCAAUGCUUCAAUGAAAGUGAAUACCCCAAUGUGCCACAAAACCCACUGUGUCAAAUGCUCUAAGACAACAAAUAAUCUAAGAAAUUAAGAACUACUGAAGAGCAUUUAUGUGAGGUAGAAUGGGUGGACUUUUGGCCUUGAGCCCCUAGAAAUUUUAUUUUUUUAAUUAGAUUUUUUUUUUUCUUCCCAUCAUUGGACCAUCAUUUUAGAGACCAGGCCAAGGGGACACCCACUUAACACCUGGCUGCAAUAGAUAGAUGGUCAUUUCCAGAGGGGGUUUCUGGACCACCUGUCUACCUGGGGUCUUACCAACCAGGAUCCCGAGCUGUGUUGUCGUUUUGGGUGUGGCCACUUGUUGUACCAGUGCAUGCUCCCCAACCUGACCUGACCUGCUGAUCUGACAUCUUAUAAAGCACAUUUAGCUACAGCGUUGGUAUGAAAAAUGUGUUGUAGAAAUAAAUGUUGUUGUUGUUGACUCUGCUGCAUGUGUGGUGCCUGGAUUGGGCCCACCCACAUGGCUUGUUGGCCCACCAUGUUUUGUAACUUAGCUUUUUAUUAUUUAUUUAUUUUUAAAUAAAAAUAAAUUUUACUCA